CAGUCGCCGCGGUAAUACAGAGGGUGCGAGCGUUAAUCGGAUUUACUGGGCGUAAAGCGUGCGUAGGCGGCUUCUUAAGUCGGAUGUGAAAUCCCUGAGCUUAACUUAGGAAUUGCAUUCGAUACUGGGAAGCUAGAGUAUGGGAGAGGAUGGUAGAAUUCCAGGUGUAGCGGUGAAAUGCGUAGAGAUCUGGAGGAAUACCGAUAGCGAAGGCAGCCAUCUGGCCUAAUACUGACGCUGAGGUACGAAAGCAUGGGGAGCAAACAGGAUUAGAUACCCCAGUAGUCCCUGUCUCUUAUAC
rnacentral:rRNA from 1 species